rnacentral:sRNA from 1 species
UCCUGAAAUAUUCUGCUAUGGAAUGCAAGAAAGGAAUCUCAAUAUUCUAUAUAAAUUUUAUACUUGAUGGACCUACAGUGUUCAUAAUUACUGGCAACAACAUUUAACCAGCCACUAAUGCUGUCUGCUAGAAAGAGAAUUGACUGAGAAUAAAAACCUUUAUUCGUACGAGCGAACCUGAGCCUCGGGACCACAGGAGUCUUAAAGUGGAAUUGGAUUUGGUUCCCUCUAGCCACAUGCCUGAUUCUGUCCUCCAUGUGCUUCUGUUCUUGAUAGGUGUGCAUAAACUUAUGUAAGAGUACGUACAUCAAGAAAAUGAAAUCUUGGCAUUACAAUGAAUCUUGUGAUGGAUGUCCAUAUGCUGCACUGGAAUUUUGCUGAUUUUUGCAUGCUGAAUUUACAUCUUUUGUUUCAGGUGAGUUUGAUGUUUCCAUCGCAGCGUCUAUUCUUCACAGACUCACAUCAUGUUCUCCAGAAAUAUGAUUAAGCACAACUUUUCCUUUUUGCU